CCUUUGGUCUGGAGUCCUAGGAUAUAUACUGCAAGCGUCAAAGAUGUCGGUGGCUGAGAUCCAACUUCAACUUGAUGCUGGCAGGCAAGAAGAGCUGCCCUUGGGUGCUCUGUGCCUGUUUCUGCACCGGAGGCAUGUGAACAAAGCUGGCUCUGUGCUGCUGUGCAUAGCAGCGUUGCAUGUCUGAGAUGCUGGCUGCAGCAGCAUGGCAUUUGAAUUGCGCCCGAGUCAACUUUGUCUCAUGGUGCUGGUGAUGGAGGAGGGCCUUUGCAUGGCUGCCUGCAUGCUGAUUUUGAGGUGAGGCUGCAGGAAGGGAGGGUGGAUAGGGGAAGAUUUGUCCUUUGCCAUAUUGCACAGGAUGCGGGGGGGGGACACAUGGAUUUUCUGGGUUCUCCCACUCACAGGGCUGGCAUCUGACUGUUCAGGGGACGCCCUCCACAAAUACGCACUGUCUUGUGAUGCAAAUGGGCACCUGGCUGAGUCCUCGAAGAGGGGUAUGUCAUGCAGUGGUUGGGAGCUACACUGAAGGUGUCUUGCCUGGAGUCAGCUGGGAGUGCACAUCUGUCUGUGAAUGGAGAGCAGGGAGUUUUGUAGCUCCCUUUCCAACGGGAAAGUUGAAAGGCCAUGACCCAUUUGGAGGGCUAGCUUGGGAACUUCCAGGGCAGCCCCCUCUUUGGCCUCCUGCAGGCAUCAUCACCAGAUGCCGGCAGAGCUGACCUCAAAGCCUCCCUGGACACCAAGUGCUCUUGGUGGCUUUGGGAGAAGAGAUCUGCUUGUUUGGGAUUUCCCCCUUCCCAGGCGUGGCCUCCUGGGCUGCUGUUUACCAUUUAAAAUUGGAGGCCUCUGGUCCAAGGUGGCUGUCUGGACAGAAGCAGGUCCCAAGCUGACCUUGGUCAGGGAAGGGGGGGUAGCUUGAGUGGGACUGCCUGGGCUGCCUUGCAUUGGGGGAGCGGGGCGUUGUGCAGAAUUUUUCAAGCUUGCUCAAUGCUCACUGGAGGACACUUGACCUCUGCUUUGAAGAACAGGAAAAUUGCUGGAAGAAUAAUGCUCUGCUUAUUAAGGGGGCUAGUCCUAGCUUUCGGGGGGGGGGCACAUCUUGAACAAUUGCAGGUGGGAGGAAGCAGCAGUAUAGCUGGUGAGGCACAAAAGGGAGGGGGCAUGUGUACCCAAAUCUACUUUCCCGCACAUACAGAUGACGGAGUAAUCCUGUGUCUAGACUUGGCCACUUCAGAUUGUGAGGGGCGGGGAGGGAGGGCGUGUUAUGCUGUUGUAUGCUCCUUCCUGCAAAUAAAGGGGAACGCCCCUGCUCAUUGGGAAAAAAUGGCAUGUUGGGGCAAGGGAGUCUGGCCGAGGUGGCUCUCUCGCCUACUUGUUUUCCAUUUGUGCUUUCAGUGGCAGACAUAUCAGCCACAUGGUCCCCACCUGUCAUUGGCUUGGAUGGUUAAUGAGAGCUUUCUUGGUUUGGGGCUGGGACAGACUGCAGACAGGGGCUUCCAGCUGGGCCGCUGCACCAAGAGAGCCAGUGAAGGGGUCUUCAAGUGUCCAGAAGAUCAGCUGCCCCUUGACUAUGCCAAGAUCUAUCCAGACCCUGAUCUGGAGGCUCAGGUGCUAAACCUGACCAUUCGGUGCAUACACAGUGAGGAGGGGUGUCGUUGGAGUGGCACGAUCCGGCACUUGCAGGCACACCUUGGCACAUGCAGCUACAACGUGGUUCCAUGCCCCAAUCGCUGUGGUGUCAAGCUGAGCCGCCGUGACCUGCCGCCCCACUUACAGCAUGACUGCCCACAGCGCCACCUCAAGUGCGAGUUCUGUGGCACCGACUUCACGGGGGAAGCCUAUGAGAACCACGAGGGCAUCUGCCCCCAGGAGAGUGUUUACUGUGAGAACAAAUGUGGGGCACGCAUGAUGCGCCGGCUGCUGUCACAGCACAUGCUUGUGGAGUGCCCCAAGCGCACGCAGCCCUGCAGCUACUGUUCAAAGGACUUCCUGUAUGAUACCAUCCAGAGUCAUGAGUACCAGUGUCCACGGUACCCUGUCCCUUGCCCCAACCAGUGUGGGGUGCCCAAUAUUGCCAGAGAAGACCUGAGUGGGCACUUGAAAGAAAACUGCACGACUGCCUUGGCGCUCUGCCCCUUCAAGGAGGCUGGCUGCAAACACCGGUGCCCAAAGCUGGCUAUGAGCCGCCACCUGGAUGAGAACACCAAGCUGCACCUGGGCCUGAUGGGUGCGCUGGUGGCCCGGCAGCGGCAGGAACUGGUGGAGCUGCGCCGAGAGGUGGAGGAGCUGGCUGUGGGCAGUGAUGGCGUGCUGAUCUGGAAGAUCUCCGACUACAGCCGCAAGCUGCAGGAGGCCAAGCUGCGCACCAACUACGAGUCCUUCAGCCCCCCGUUCUACACCCACCGGUACGGGUACAAGCUGCAGGUCUCGGCCUUCCUCAAUGGGAACGGGAGCGGCGAGGGCAGCUUCCUCUCAGUCUACAUCCGGGUGCUUCCUGGCCAGUACGACAACCUCUUGGAGUGGCCCUUCUCGUAUCGGGUCACCUUCUCCCUGCUGGACCAAAGUGACCCUUCUCUCUCCAAGCCACAGCACAUUACGGAGACCUUCCUUCCCGACCCCAACUGGAAGAACUUCCAGAAGCCUGGUCUGGGCCGUGCCUCCCUGGACGAGAGCUUGCUGGGGUUCGGCUACCCCAAAUUCAUCUCUCACGAGGACAUCAAAAAGCGCAACUACGUGAAAGACAAUGCGGUCUUCAUCAAGGCCUCGGUGGAGAUCCCACAGAAAAUCAUGCCCUGAGCAGCCCCCCUUGACUCCCUGGGGUUGGGCGGGGCCAAGGUCUCGCAGCAGGACUGGGGAAAUUGUUCUUUGGAGACUUGGACAAUCAUUCAGCUGGGAAAGGAGGACAACAAUCCCACACUUGAAAGAUGAAAUCGAUUGGUCUUAUUCCACAGAAAGUGAGGGGGUGUGAGCAAUGUGAAUUUUUAUAGCAUGUGCAGAAUAAUCCCAAACGUUCCUCCUAAUGACAGAGCCUAGACACAUUUGACAUCUAUCUGCACGCUAAUUUGCCAUAAACUGUUUUUUCUUCCUAAGCCAUGCAAAAGCCACUUGUCCAGAAAACUUUGUACUAGCGGUCCCUGGGUUGUUGUUUUGUGUUGUUCUUAAGGGGAACAGGAAGCCACAACCAUCCCCAAAGAGAGUUAGUAGUGUUUGUAGGUGCCAGAAAAUGAUAUCCCAAUGUUCUGCUGAAGCUGAGACUAGUGAGCAGCUGUUGGAAAUCCUGAUACCUAAUUUGCUUGAUCUGUAAUUAAGGUGUGUUUUGCUUGUGGUUGGGGUGCCAAUUCAUGGGCGAGGAAGCGUGGGAGGGGGAAUUGUCGGAAGAGUUCAGGUAGGGGAGGGCAGCAUGGGAAGAGAAAACUGCAAUUCUGCUCAUAGCUUAUCUAGAUAAGGACAGGUGCUGCUUUGCCUGCCCACGAGAUCAGCUGCUCCUGCCCUAACAAAGAGCAGGAGCCCCCUCCUGUUUACUCCCCCCCCACCAUUUGUUUAAACAACUCAGCUUUUUGCUUCCCCCCAAUUCCCUGCCCCCCCCAUUGUUUUAGAGCUGUUCUAACCUAGAGUGAUGAUGCCUUUAUUCUAGGGUCAAGGCUGUUUUGCUCAGCCCACCUCUCAUCUUCAGGGCAAAGUGGCUGAUCGGAGAAACUGCCCCAGUGAAGCCACACCUGAGCUCCAACCUCUAGUUGCUAGCCUAAGGGCUACUAUUUCUGGGUGAGGUUACAGGGCUCAGCACCAGUGCCAACCUCCUUUACUACCUGCACAGCCAGCUGUUGCGUAGGGAAGGCAGCAUCUCAUUCUGUUAAGAAGGGGGGGGCUGUGGAUUCAAACCCCCCCCCAUUUGUUCCCUACCCCAGCCUACAGCAAUAACGAGCUGCAGCCAAGUAGAAUGAAGGAUGCAGUUAAGGUCUCAUGAACAGGGACAUGCCCCACAGGGGGUGGUGUGAAGUGCAAAGCUAACCUGGGUGAUUCUGUCCUGCGUAUAUUAAGCAGAGAUCCUUCCACAGGGCCACCUUGCAUGGUGUGUGUCUGUGUACACCCAUUGGAGCUGAGUACAGCAAGUGUUCAGCAUCUGCUGCUCUCAGAAAUACCCCCAAAUCCAACUUCCAAGUAAAGCCCCAUUUGUGUU